UGCGCAGGCGGGCUUGUAAGUCAGUGGUGAAAUACUGCCGCUUAACGGUAGAACUGCCAUUGAUACUGCAAGUCUUGAAUAUGGUUGAGGUAGGCGGAAUGUGUUGUGUAGCGGUGAAAUGCAUAGAUAUGACACAGAACGCCGAUUGCGAAGGCAGCUUACUAAGCCAUUAUUGACGCUGAGGCACGAAAGCGUGGGGAGCGAACAGGAUUAGAUACCCUGGUAGUC
rnacentral:rRNA from 1 species